rnacentral:rRNA from 1 species
AUUGGCGGACGGGUGAGUAACACGUGGGCAACCUGCCUCAUAGAGGGGAAUAGCCUCCCGAAAGGGAGAUUAAUACCGCAUAAGAUUGUAGCUUCGCAUGAAGUAGCAAUUAAAGGAGCAAUCCGCUAUGAGAUGGGCCCGCGGCGCAUUAGCUAGUUGGUGAGGUAACGGCUCACCAAGGCGACGAUGCGUAGCCGACCUGAGAGGGUGAUCGGCCACAUUGGGACUGAGACACGGCCCAGACUCCUACGGGAGGCAGCAGUGGGGAAUAUUGCACAAUGGGGGAAACCCUGAUGCAGCAACGCCGCGUGAGUGAUGACGGCCUUCGGGUUGUAAAGCUCUGUCUUCGGGGACGAUAAUGACGGUACCUGAGGAGGAAGCCACGGCUAACUACGUGCCAGCAGCCGCGGUAAUAAU